rnacentral:rRNA from 1 species
AGCGAACGCUGGCGGCAGGCCUAACACAUGCAAGUCGAGCGCCCCGCAAGGGGAGCGGCAGACGGGAGAGUAACACGUGGGAACGUGCCCUUCAGUUCGGAACAACCCAGGGAAACUUGGGCUAAUACCGGAUACGUCCGUAAGGAGAAAGAUUUAUCGCUGAAGGAUCGGCCCGCGUCUGAUUAGCUAGUUGGUGGGGUAAUGGCUCACCAAGGCGACGAUCAGUAGCUGGUCUGAGAGGAUGAUCAGCCUCACUGGGACUGAGACACGGCCCAGACUCCUACGGGAGGCAGCAGUGGGGAAUAUUGGACAAUGGGCGCAAGCCUGAUCCAGCCAUGCCGCGUGGAUGAUGAAGGCCCUAGGGUUGUAAAGUCCUUUCGGCGGGGAAGAUAAUGACGGUACCCGCAGAAGAAGCCCCGGCUAACUUCGUGCCAGCAGCCGCGGUAAAAC